rnacentral:misc_RNA from 1 species
GAUGAAGAACGUAGCGAAAUGCGAUAAGUAAUGUGAAUUGCAGAAUUCAGUGAAUCAUCGAAUCUUUGAACGCACAUUGCGCCCGCCAGUAUUCUGGCGGGCAUGCCUGUUCGAGCGUCAUUUCAACCCUCAGGCCCCCAGUUCCUGGUGUUGGGGAUCGGCCCAGCCUUCCUGUAAGGCCGCCGGCCCCGAAAUCUAGUGGCGGUCUCGCUGUAGUCCUCCUCUGCGUAGUAGCACAACCUCGCAGUUGGAACGCGGCGGUGGCCAUGCCGUUAAACACCCCACUUCUGAAAGUUGACCUCGGAUCAGGUAGGAAUACCCGCUGAACUUAAGCAUAUCAAUAAGCGGAGGA